CGGGUGAGUAACGCGUGGAUAACCUGCCUCACACUGGGGGAUAACAGUUAGAAAUGACUGCUAAUACCGCAUAAGCGCACAGUACCGCAUGGUACAGUGUGAAAAACUCCGGUGGUGUGAGAUGGAUCCGCGCCUGAUUAGCCAGUUGGCGGGGUAACGGCCCACCAAAGCGACGAUCAGUAGCCGACCUGAGAGGGUGACCGGCCACAUUGGGACUGAGACACGGCCCAA
rnacentral:rRNA from 1 species